rnacentral:lncRNA from 1 species
GGCAGGCAAGAUUGGGGAGGCUAGCAGAGCCACAGGGGCAUUGGCAGGUCUGGGAGUGGGUUGGCAAGAUUUGGGGGAGGGGGCGGACAAGUCUCCAGGGGGUGCUGUCAAUCUGUGCCUGGUGGAGUUGGGGGACCAAAAAUAGCCCUGUCAGGGUAGGAAGAGCUCAACCCCAGGGCUGGGGCAAGUAUCUGGGCUUUCAUUCACUAGCUUGGGCUAAUCUGUUCCCAAUCUGAGAUCACUUCCUUAGGUGAACUAAUUUAGAUGGAACACAGCAUUUUUUUUUGCCUGAUUUAACCUCCCCAAACUUCUGCACAGACCUUAAUUAGGUUGAUCUAAAUGUAACAUCUGCACCUACUCUAAAAGAAAAAAACUAUCAGGACUUAACAUGGCAACUUGACCCACUGUUCAAAAAUACAUAUCCCACUUCCAGUCUUAAUCCACAGUGGAUAUAGAUCUGCUACAUCUCUAGGUUGCAGCUAGCAAGCCCAGAUCCUAAUCCAAACUCAGGUAGUCAUUUCCAUGGAUUUUGGUGUGUGUAGAAUCAAGCCAUUGGCCCGUCUAGCUGGAGGUCCAGCAGUUCAUCCACAUAAUGACUAAGAUGACAGUUCUUACACCAGCCAAGAUUCUUUUAAUCGUCACUUUUUAGUAUUCUACGCUCCUGUGAACUAUUACGCAUAUAAACUCUGUGGCUUGUGGGUUUACGUUUUUAUUUUUUGUUCAAAGUUCUUACCAACCUGUUCUUACAAAUUCAGACUCUGAAGGUGAAAAUACAAAGAUCAGAAUCAUGUUUAAGAAAUCAUCUCCAAAAUAAUCAGCCAGGAUUACUGAAAUGCAGUGCCUCAGAAAUAGAGGUCACUUCCAUUUUCAUGGAUAUACCACAGCACAUCCUGCACCUGCUCCUCUGCUCCCUGGCAGCAUAACUUCAUUGCAAGUGUGUUACCACAACCUCUCAUCCAGCCAAGCCCUGAGGAUCUCCCACUUCACUGCCCAGGAGUCGUGUGUGUAAACCAAUGAGAAUUGUGCAUUUGUCACCCUUCCCAUAGAGGGCAACCCUGACAAGGACUCUCAGAAGGAGGGGGAUAAUUUAGCUGGAGAAACAGGAGAAGAUCUAUUGGCUAGGAGGAAAGCCUUGUGUGUGUAUUUUGGAAAGAUCAAGGUACCAGGGAUAGAAGUACCGGGAGGUCAGUUGCAUUUUAUUUUGC